GACGAACGCUGGCGGCGUGCUUAACACAUGCAAGUCGAACGGAAAGGCCCUGCUUUUGUUGGGUGCUCGAUUGGCGAACGGGUGAGUAACACGUGAGUAACCUGCCCUUGACUUUGUGAUAACUUCAGGAAACUGGGGCUAAUACCGGAUAGGAGCUCCUGCUGCAUGGUGGGGGUUGGAGAGUUUCGGCGGUUGGGGAUGGACUCGCGGCUUAUCAGCUUGUUGGUGGGGUAGUGGCUUACCAAGGCUUUGACGGGUAGCCGGCCUGAGAGGGUGACCGGCCACAUUGGGACUGAGAUACGGCCCAGACUCCUACGGGCGGCAGCAGUGGGGAAUCUUGCACAAUGGGCCGACGCCUGAUGCAGCAACGCCGCGUGCGGGAUGACGGCCUUCGGGUUGUAAACCGCUUUCGCCUGUGACGAAGCGUGAGUGACGGUAAUGGGUAAAGAAGCACCGGCUAACUACGUG
rnacentral:rRNA from 1 species